rnacentral:lncRNA from 1 species
UUACAAACAGGGACUUGGUUUCAUCGGGAAAAACAAAAACAAAAAACAAAGAAAAAGAACAAACAUACGAACAAUAUAUCAGAAUAACUGACAACUGGACGUAUUUCUGCCGACCGGAACUAUAUGCAUUAAGACAUGAGCCCUGAGACUCAUUAGAAUAUGUGCAUAACAGGGCUCACGUCAUAAUGCACAUAGUUCCGUUUGAUAGAAAUACGUCCAACUGAGAAUUAUUAUUGAUUGCCUAUCAGAUUAUUUUUGUCAAGAGACGCCUGUUAUCAAUGAGUCAUCGGGUACUCUCUGUGCUUGGGAAUGUUUGACUGGCCUCUCAUCAACAGUCAAAGUGCGACAUUCGUCUGAUCCUGUUACGUCUACUAUUUCGAAAAAGGGAGCUUCCAAGGGCAGUUUCAGAUUUUGAGUUGAAACUCUAACAACAGGAACUCGGAAGAUGUCUCAAGACUCAGCAGAAGCAACCUGCUCCAAGAAACUGUUAUCUGAGGUCUUAGAUGCUCUUAAUGAGUGCACUGUACUUAAGGAUUGCGAUACGCAUAAUGCAAAAAUGAUUUCUGAGUACAAAAAUUUCAAGCCUGCAAGGAGCUUGGAAUUGCUAAUCGAACGGUUUUCCUCUGGAGGGGAAUCUCAGUCACCAACAGCUUUCAUUGACGAUAUGAAAACCUUAAUUUCUUGGAGUAACAAUGUCGAAGAAUUUAAAACAUAUAUUGAGAAGUUAAUCCAAUGGUAUAGUAAAAAACCCUUCAUUUAUUGGCUUAGCACAUUAAUAUGGGAGACAAAACGUGAAAAGAGGAAUCGAAAGUACAUAAAACGAUAUUCGACGAUUCUAAAAAAGGUCAGUCCUCUUGAGAAGAGGUAUGACAUUAAAAUAUCAGGCACUGCAACUGAGGUUAUAACCUAUUCGCGGCUGCGAUUUUUAUUUCCUAAUUUAUUAGGCUUAACGUCGAAUGGAACUUACGGUGAAAACGAUUUCAUUCCCCAAAUGUUUGGCGCUCCUGAAUUCGGAGGAUUGAUACCUUCACACUAUUUCAAAGCUAAAGAUGCUAUCAUCACGCUUCACCUUUGCUGCUUGCGGCUUUUGGAUCCGAAAACCACUUUUUACCUUCAUCAUCUAUUCUUAAAGAAGCGAAUUGACGAGGGAUUACUUUCAGACGGGACAAGGUUCAAUUUUCUUUCGGCGCAAGGAAUAAUACAGCCGGAUGGUGAUAUGACCGGAAAAUUUCGGAUUGUCAACGAAACCAGGUGCAGACUCUACGGUAACAUCGAUGCCGAAAUCGCAGAGGUUGAAAAAAUAAAUGGAUUUAGUUUAGCUCAAAACCCUCUGGAAGAGCACGUGUCUGCCUCAGCAACAGCGCCGGACGGGCCCGAAAAACGGCCUAUGAGUACUGGGACUGGGAGUCCUGGCGUGCCAACUUACCAUCAUUCACGGUAUCGAAUAAGGAAGUAACAUUGGACUACAGUGUCUCCUAGACUGCAAAGAAGUAAAUUACGAAGCAAAACACAUGAGCUACUUCCUGGUUGGUCAGCAAAGUUUUGUUUUAAGAGUCAAUGUUAAUCAACGCCCAAUCGCUACGAUUUUCUCAAUCCUCUAUAAAAUUAUUCAAUUUUCCAUUUGUUUGCAUUUCGAAGAGGAACCCCGACUGCCACUUGGUUUCUUUGUAUUUAUUCGGUUCAACUACUUUUCCAAUGAGUAGGCAUGUACCAUAUUCCUAUUAUGAUUUUUGAUUGAACAAAUUUUGAUUGUUCUACCAAUAUUGACCUACUCGGUAAAAUAAAACCCAACAUCUUAUAGCUUUAAUAAAAUGAAUUCGGUUAGAACACCAAUCGUUUUAAUUGACCCUUCUCUCGGUCUCUUUUCCCCUAUUCUAGAAGAAGGGGGUGAAGGAUUUUCUACAUUCUCUUACUCUUUACACCCCUCAAAGAAGGGGGAAAUCCGGAGGUCUCCCCUGGAAAACUUUAUAAAAGGAGAGAUCCAAUCCACAAUGAGCUUUAAACUUAAUAUUAAGACGCAUUUCAAUCAAAAGGAA